rnacentral:tmRNA from 1 species
CCAAGCGCCUUAUAUAUGAACCGUCCCUUCGGGGAAUAUGGUGAUAAACGCGCAUGUAAUAGACGGAUCGGACCCGGGGGCGGUACCCGGCGACUCCACCAAACAACCCUUUCAUUUGAGGGGUUAUGGGGUCGAAAUAGGAUCGACGGACGUUCAAAGAUGUUAGCUUUUGCUCGGUUGACUGCCACCGUUAUCGGCGUAAAAUGUACAAUUGCAAAUGACAAUCGUGCUCCAAGCAAGAUGGCUAUUGCUGCUUAAUUGCAGCUAAUGUAGCUUUCAAGUUUGAAACCUAACUCCAGUGGAUUAGCGUCUACUGGCGGGGGUCGGAGGUCCCUGGCAACAGAAACCUCCA